rnacentral:rRNA from 1 species
UGGGGAAUAUUGCACAAUGGGCGCAAGCCUGAUGCAGCAACGCCGCGUGAGGGACGACGGCCUUCGGGUUGUAAACCUCUUUUAGUAGGGAAGAAGCGAAAGUGACGGUACCUGCAGAAAAAGCACCGGCUAACUACGUGCCAGCAGCCGCGGUAAUACGUAGGGUGCAAGCGUUGUCCGGAAUUAUUGGGCGUAAAGAGCUCGUAGGCGGUUUGUCGCGUCUGCUGUGAAAAACCCCGAGGCUCAACCUCGGGCCUGCAGUGGGUACGGGCAGACUAGAGUGCGGUAGGGGAGAAUGGAAUUCCUGGUGUAGCGGUGGAAUGCGCAGAUAUCAGGAGGAACACCGAUGGCGAAGGCAGUUCUCUGGGCCGUAACUGACGCUGAGGAGCGAAAGCGUGGGGAGCGAACAGGAUUAGAUACCCUGGGUAGUCCACGCCGUAAACGUUGGGCGCUAGAUGUGGGGACCAUUCCACGGUUUCCGUGUCGCAGCUAACGCAUUAAGCG